UUGUUUUCUUCCACUAAUUCGAUCUUCGAAAGGUCUCAGAGCUCCAAGUAACUCAGUAAGCUCGGUUUUCUUCUAUUCUCUUGGAUACUUGCUUACACAUUCCUUUUUUUUGUGUUAAAUUUGUUGUUUUGUUGUGUUAUAUGGAUCGAUGAGAGUCACAGACUUUGAAUUGAAAAAUGAAAAUUAGUUUUUUUUUCUGUGCUACAAAAAUGGGCGGAGACUGCAAGCAAGAGGGAAUGAAGCGACUCGAGUCACGAAGAGUCCUGUGACUUGCGAGAGGUGACAUGUAACUAUGAGAAAUUGAAAUAUUUGAUUAUCGAGUAAAUAACAUUGAGUUCCCUAUAUUUUUAUUUUUAGUAAAUAACGAUACAUUAGUUUCAGUUUAUUUCAAAUAGGUUCCUCAUCCUUUGCCAGUGACCAAGUUGUGCAACCCUAACAUCCACAGCACCUCUUUUCGCUUCAAUCAUGACCGGAGCAUCAGAGCUUGAGUCUAUCCUUUUAUGUUCAUCUCCGUCUUGUUCUUCAUCCAUUUUUGCAUCUUCUACAUGAAUGGCUUCUGGUUCUUUGGUUUGAUUUUCUUCUGUGCUGCCUUUUGGUUCUCUCCCUUCGCCGACUUGUUCAGCCACUUUCGUAGUUUCAAUUCUGGAGCUCUGAAGGGGGCCAGUCAAUGAAGCUGUAGCUGAGUCCAUCAAUGCUGAUUCCUCAGUUUUUAUUUCCCCUGAUUCUUGUGGUUGUUGCUCUCCUUCGAGGUUAAUCUUUGCUUUUUGUGGAGUUUCUGUGGUUCCUUAUUGCUCAAAAAUUUUUGGCGCAAACUCAUCUCCAGUUUGAACUGGUGUGUAUGGGCGCUCAAUGAGAUCUGCUUCAGUUGUUGCAUAAGAGCUUUUCUCUAACUCACUAGUUUCUUGAAUGAUUUUGCUGUCUGUUGCAAACCCCCUUAUGCUUUCUUUUUGUGACAUCGCCAUACUCGAUUCUUGAUAAAAUUAAAAGUAAAGCUGCUCAAAUUGUGAAAAAUAAAAGAAAAACCGAAAUGUCUAAUUAAUAUCUGCAAGCAAAAUGGCUUUCAUAAUUUAGCUGCAUUCUUGUCCUACUAAGUUAUGUUU
rnacentral:lncRNA from 1 species